AUUUGCGAACAAAAAGAGGAAAUCGCGCGGGAAGAUUCACGAGGGCGCGAAUUGGCUGAACUGUAGCAGAUAUCGUAUCGAAUAUCCGAACAAAUUGACUAUUUGUCGCGUCUAGAUGACGCGUGUUUCCCCCACGAUAAAACAUUUUGCGACACAAUUCUGUUGCGACUGGUUAACAAGCGACCGCCUGAUUGGCGCGCUCUUUUUUCCGCGAAUCGUACGCGGCCAGUACAAUUUUCAGCGCGGUCGGCAUCAUCAAAACGCAUUGUAACACUAGUAACGUGUUUCUACGAAGCGAUGUGAUCGGAUCACAACGAGUCAGAUACAGGAGAAAAACGUGUCGAUCGCAAGAAUAAAGAACGCUAGGCUGGUUCGAGCGUGAUGAACAGGAGGAAUCGCGCGCGACACCGUUGAUCGGUAGACAGAUCCACUUAGGCUUAAUUAGCGACGAUUACUUAAAUACGUCCUUAUUUCCAUGGAUAUAUCUAUGUACAUAUAUAUGUAGCUAACGAUCGCCCUCUAUGGAUGACGAAGAAAAGCAGAAAAAGCAAGAUUGAACGUAUCUGUACCUCGUCGAUGGGGGAUGGUGGUGUUUGACUGGCAGGCUUCGUUGGCGCUUUGAUGCAGAGCCGAGUCUGAAUUCGUUCUCCUCCAUGUGUCCGGUGGUGGUGGUGAAAGAUACGGAACACCGCUGUACGGUGAGGUAUCGUGCCUUUUUUCCAUCGGACGAGGUCGCAUCGGUCCAACUCCCAUGCUCCUACCCCUCUCGUUGUUACGAUACACCAUAGAAUUGUGCUGCAUCUCCUCCAAAUUGCUGAGCGCUGUCUAUAAACGCGAAAACAUUAUUUAAGCAUUUAUCUCGACAAUCACAUUAUCUUGCCACUCGAAGAAGCAUUUUUGCGUGCACACGAAUAAAUUUUUAUCGAUUGCAUAUCUUGCACGUGUCUAUUCAAACGACACGAAAGGAAAAACUCAUUCAUCGUGUUUCUUUCAACUAGAACAAAAAAUAUAUGGAUGCAUGUAAAAUAAAUGUCCAUUGUGAUGUAGAGAUAUUCUGUCAUUUUUACACACAUACAUCGAUCGAUAGUUCUUACGUAUAAGUGGCAGCGUCAUCCUUUCUGAACGUUGCCCUAUCUUAUCAACCUUAACUAAACCUCUAAAUUCUAAACACUAGGACGUUCAACUUUGUCGCUAUUACUAAUUGCAUUCCAAACAUCUGGUCCUACCUUCGGGCAUAGAUGAUAGUGUCAUUCCUCCGAAAUUUUUCUUUAUCUUAUCGUUAUUUACUAUUUAAGUGCUUAAAACUUCGCCUUUCCUUUAAGUCCACGCUAAUUGCAUUCCAAAUAUGGACGUUCGAUCUACAUAUCACCAGCUGAAGCUCGCUUUGUUGACUAACGUAACAUAAAUUACCACGAACUUGAAACAAAUAUCGUUUACGUUACUAGAGCACGAAUGUUUAUGUAUUUAUGGAAAAUUUAAAGGUUCGAGGAUACGCAGGCUACACAUAUUAUACGAACAUGUGUAAAAUAUUCAAACUAAAGUAAUAUUUAAUAAGCAAAGCAAAUCUUCGUUUAAAUUCUAUUUUACAGAUCUGCAUAAAUUUCUAUUGCUCAAAAGAAGAAGAAAAAGAAAAAAAAGAAAAAAUGUAUAGUGCAUAUUCAUAGAAUCACUAUUUUGCAGAAAACGAAUGCAUUACGUACAUGGAGCAAAUGAAAUGUACGAUGAAAACGAACUAGCUCCGAGGAAAGUAAUUUUCUUUUACCUUCGUUCUUUUUCGAGUUGGUCGGAAUUUUCUCGUCCUAUGAAACUCAGCCUGUGAAACGUUUCAUCCGUUUUAUGAGAGGACCAAUGCGAUAUAAAGAGACUUAACGCAGGCGUUCGAUCAGGACACGCUAGAACGAGAAUCCGUGUCAGUUCCUCCAAAGAUAAAUCCAUGGAGAUAAGUUUCCCUUUGGAAAAUAUGAGCUUUUCCUUCCUCGAGCAAUCAGAUCUUAUAUCCACAACUUCUUUGAAAGCAAACUAAAGAUUCAAAGUACAAGAAUAUCGACCCUUUGAUAACAACAUUAAUAAACGAGCUCGUGUUUCCGUGCUAAUAGAAAUUCUAAAAGUCUGCGCUUUUUAAAACAGACUACGACGAAACCAUCGUAGAAAUCUGCGAUACAACUCGUACGAGACGAUUAUAUACAAUACAAGUAUACUGACAAAGUAUGGCUGUUACGUUCGGGACAUUGUGUGUAUAUGGAAAACUGGUGUCGAAAUUCCUGCAUACUAUACGAGACUGGUUCCAUCGGAAGUCUGAGUUACCUGCGACAACAGACAGGUGGCUUGCGUAAGGCAGAAAAGGAUUUCGCGCUGGUUCGCAUCAACGCGAGUCGCGUAAUCACAAUUAAUGCGACGCUCGCGGUAAUGGUCGUUCUCAUUAUCAUCGCGGUGUGUAUUGGAUAAUGCUCGAGCGUAUUCGAUGAUCCGGCGCGAACGUGAGAUCCGUGUAAACAGCCAGUGUUAAUUUUCGGUCUUCCAGAACGGUAAAGGGAGAGAGGAGAUCGGUGCAUAUGUACAUUUGAAAUAUGAAGCGGGACGGUAGGCGGGACAAUCGAUGACGGUACUAUAAUUAAAGUAUCCUUCGAUAUUUCGCUCGAGAACGGACCAGAGUAACAUCACGUGUCGUCGAUGUCAAGGCGUCUUCGUCGAGCAGUGAACGGAACGAGGCGACGUACACUACCGCUUCAAAGUAUCCGGACACUUGCUCGUUUCUACAAGAUAUAUUAAUAUGCAUAUUUAAUAGCUAAGUGGCCAUGUGUAUUGGCAAGCGCAUACUCUUAUUUUUCAAAGAAGCGUCGUUUUAUCACGUCCAAAAUACUGGCAAAUGAUAUACAAUGCUUGAUAAUACACUUGCGCUUAAUUAAUUACUAUAUAAACGUUAUAAGAAAUACAAUGGCGUGGAAAUAUCUUUGGUAGUCAGCGUAUAGACCAAGUGACUCCGUAGGAAACGUAAUAAGUAUCGUAUUGUUUUUAUCGAUUAUUUCCUCGUUAACUCCUCGAUAAAAUUUAUGUGCUGUUACUACGGACCAAAGUGUCGGAUACUUAUGAGCCAUAGUGUACGAAGACAGAGGGGGAAAGAGCGAGACGAAACAACGGAGAGGAAGUUUAUAGUGCACAGCAAGAUAAAAACGAAGCGACCGUGAACGUGUACGAGGAAUUGCCGCGAGCGUCGCUUCUAAUAGCUUUGUGUUGGCCGUUUUAUUCGCAGAUCGCGCGAAAGCUGCGCUCUUAACAUUGGCCUGAUGGCAGGCGGAUUCACCUAACCUUAACUUAGAAUGUAGAUGAAAUUCGACGCAGGUAUUCAAGAAACUCGACAUCGUUGUUUAGAACAAUGUAAGAACGAAUAACCGCGAGUCAUCGGCCGGCGUAUGUCUCGUGUAUGCGCGAACGUAAACGACACGCGGCCGCCGUAAUACGAGAACGUGGAACGAGGUUGUCUCUUGGCAAAUCCUUAAUUAAUAAAAACACUGGAUAUCGAGGAAAACAAUCGUGAACAAGCAUGAACGAUCGUGCUUGUUGUCGGGCUACGUGUUGUUAUAAAUAGCCGUAACGUUCGAGGCAAAUUAUUAAUUAUAACACGUUAACCAGUACACGAGCGGACGAUCAUGGCUAUCACGGUGCAAGGUUCAAGGGAAACCGCAUUCUUCGAACGGUAAAGGCGAAAAAACCUAUUAGUAAACGCACCUCUCGUUUCGUUUUGUUUCGUUUCGCAGGAUCUAGACUAGACGUUCGCGAAGAGAAAAGACCCGGGGAACGCAGAAACAGAAAACUAAGAAAUGAAACGAAACGGUGACAAUAAGACCUCGUGCAAUGUGAUACUUAUAUAACGCGAGUAAAAAUUGACUUUUGGCAUCGUGUAAUAUCAUUUACAAAACAUCAAUGAGAGUGAAAUGUUUGUAAAUUCGUUAAGGUACAAGCAGUGAAAUACAUAAUGUGUGAAAGAAAAA